rnacentral:rRNA from 1 species
UACGUAGGGGGCAAGCGUUAUCCGGAUUUACUGGGUGUAAAGGGUGCGCAGGUGGCAGGGCAAGUCAGAUGUGAAAGCCCGGGGCUCAACCCCGGUAUUGCAUUUGAAACUGUCCGGCUAGAGUGCAGGAGAGGUAAGCGGAAUUCCUAGUGUAGCGGUGAAAUGCGUAGAUAUUAGGAGGAACACCAGUGGCGAAGGCGGCUUACUGGACUGUAACUGACACUGAGGCACGAAAGCGUGGGGAGCAAAUAGG